UGUCAUUUACUUUUCACAGGCUUUAUUCCUUUGGGAAUUCUCACACUUAACGCAAAAAUGGCACUAUUAAUUUACCUAAUGAAGGAUUGUACUCUUGAAUGAUAUUCCACUGUAUAUUCAAUGAGAAACAAACCAAGAUGCUGGCUUAUAAUCGUCGUAAGAAUAACACAAGUAAAAAGCAUGGGGAUCGGGCGAAAUGAAAAUAGAAAACCACAAAAUGAUAUAAUGUCCCAUUGGAUAAGCCCCCACAUUCGCACAAAAAGGAACAGACAGCGAGCUUUAAAACAAUUAAUUAUAAAUUUAUGGGACGAUGUGAAGGGGGGGAGCCAAGAAGAAGGAACAAAAGCAGACAUUUAAAUAACUCGGUAAACAAAAGCCAACUGAAAAGGACGAAGGACAAAAAGGAGUGAAAAUGGAUUUCCAUUUAAGGCGGCAUGUUGAGCACAUUGUUUUUAUUAAGUGUCGCAUGAUAUGUGCGAUAAAUAUAUGUACACAUAUAUGUAUAUGUGUAUCCAAUGGUAAGCCCGCAGUGCCAGUCCAUUCACAUAAACACUUCGAGUGGCAACAUGACGUGCAACUAAUCCGUUGCCGUUGCCCAAAAAAUAUGUUACAAGUGGGCAGGAGUGUCCGGGGGUCGAGUGUCCGUAUCCGGAUUCAGCCGGACACUGGCGCCUAACACCGCAGUGCCCAAUUAAUUAUUUAAGGAUUACAUUCUUAAGUUCAUGCUAUCCACCUUAGAUGUGUAUUGGUGCUCGAAAAGUGCAAACAGCAAUGACUUUAGACCCACUGUGCCAAAGGGGACAUAAUAAAACAGCUGCCGACCCUGCACAAAGAUGAUGACUGCGACUCCUGAUGAUGAUGACCCCUUGAC
rnacentral:sRNA from 1 species